GAAGAGCAGGAUUUCAAAAAGAUUUCUAAUUUUUUAAGACAGACUUUUACAUUGCCAAGGAAACGGCAAGACCCCGUAAUAGGUGAGACCAAUCUUUCACCUGAUAAGUGAAUUCCUACUACAUUAUGAUUCAUUCUAUUUAAGCCACUAAUUUUAAAUCGGAAAAGGAACUGAACAAAUGUUUUUAAGAAUCCCAACUGUUGAAAAGUUCUGUAAUAUAAUCUAAAAUAAAUAUACCAACUUAAAUUUUCCUUAUAAAAAGGAAGCUGGUUGGUUUAAAAACUAUCGUCAGAAUAAAUAUUUAUGGAGCAGAAUGACGACUUAUCCACAGCAUUGGCGUACAUUUUCUUAGUUAAUGUUUGAUGAAGUACUGCCAUUUACAAUUCAUCAGUGCAUGAAAAGAAGAGUUUCAUUAACUAUUUUUGAAAGAUAAUGAGGCCAUGAUCCCUUUCCAGAUGUUUCACUCGUCAAAUAAUUGUGAUCUUUCUUCCAAAUCUCCCUGUUGCUUGGUUCCUAUUUUCUUGUUUAUUGAGCAGUGCUUUAUGAAGAUGAAGAGAGGUACUGAUUUAUAAAGAUGAAGAGAAGUAGAAAUGCCAGACAGACGAUGAAGACUGGGAAAUGAAGGCAUAAUUUUACCUUCCCCAAAUUGGAGGCUCUUGAAGUUUUAUUACUAAAGGAUAAUUAUCUCAGAUGUGGAAAGAGAAAAAAAAAUUUUUUUCUUGCUUUUCGUUUAGAAGCAUAGGGACACUUCCGACUCUUUCUCCACAGAAGGGACUCAAGAAUAUGGCUCUUUGCAGAAUUCCCUUGGGGGUUAAAAAAAAAGAGAGAGACUUGGAUUUUUGCUUGAGAGCAGACUAAUCUAUUUUCUAGCAUUCUGAAGUGCAGGGAAAAGAAAUAGGGCCCAAAACACACAGUGAAAUUAGGGAUACACUGCAAAAGUUACGUGAAUAUAACAAUAGGUAAGUUAGUGAUCACAAUCAAUAUAACACCACCAAUAAUAAUAAUAAAGCUAACAUUUACUGAGUGUGUACUACGUACCAAGUACUGUUGUAAACACUUCAUGUAAUAGUUCAGUUAUUCCCCUACAAUGACCAUAUGUGCUAGGUAGUGGUAUUAGCACCAUUUUACAGAUCGAAAGUGGAGGCAGGAAAAUUUAGGUAACUUGUUCAAGCUCACACAGCUAGUAUGGGAUGGAGUGCGAGAGAAACUGAAGCAGCUGGUCUCCAUGGUGAUUGCCGUGAUGCUACGUGAAAGCGAACACAGGAUGAUAUGAGAACUUUGAGCAAUUUGUUUUGCAUCUUGGUACUACCCAUGUUUUCCUUAAUUGCUCCCCAAACCAUCAUUUCAAUUUUAUCCACGUUGACUAUGUUGGUUGUAGUAUGACAGAAGGCCAAGGAAAGUGAUAAUCAGCAACACCUAUAGAAUAUAUAACAAAAACUAACAGAAAGGAUUUGCAUCCCUUUAAGCAUCGUUAAUAUUCUUUCUAUUUCAACCACCCUGUUUGCAUUUAGAAAUUAAUGAAAAUGUUUCGCAGCUAUUAAGAAGAGUUUAAUUGGGGUAAAAGUUGCCCCACAGGAGGAAUAGAGAAAUACCCAUUCUCCAGCUGUUGUAAGGGAUGGCUACUGAAGGCUCACAGCUGCCUUUAUCUUCUGAGAAGGAAGCUGCCUUGCUUGGAAUGUACCCCCAUGGGGGCAGCCAGCAGCCAAUGAUUAACUGAUAUAUGUGGAGUAUAAAAGGUGGAUUGAAGGAUGGAUUGAACUCUGGUGCUCCAGAGGACAAGGCUCUCACGGUUUUCAGCUGAGCACACAUCCUUACUUGGCUUUUUCCCUUGCCCUCCUUUUUCUCCUCCCGUUGACUUCUCCUAAGAGCACUACCUCAAUAAAUCCCUUUUAUAAGAAUCUUUUUCUUCAAUUUUGCUUUUAGAGAACUGAAGCCAAGAUGGAUUGUAUUAGAACAGUCCCAGGAGGCAGAGUCUAAGACAGAAUCCCAGAGGAAGAUGGCAGUGAGUCCUCUGUGUCGCUGGUGCCACAUUUCUCAGCCUCAGCUGCUCCAGCUGCCUCUGACUUCAAAAGAAACUCUGAAGGAAGAGGGAGGGCACACAAUAGAAGAAGUGGUCUGAGUAUCCCCCUCUGUUUGGAAAUGAGUAAAGAUCACAGAUAUGUUUUCUUCUUUCUGUGCUUUAGACUAUGUAAUGUCAAUUACCUCAAGCAAAACCCCCUGCCCAAGAUAAUGCACAGAUUUGGAUUAUACCAAAAUUGCAUAAAAUUGGAAACAAGAUAUUAAUAAUAGUCCAUAAUAGUGUGACAAAGUGGAAUACAUGUUUACUUUUAUUGGCUAUAGCUGGGACAAUAAAAAAAGUAAAUUGGUUUAGAGAUUUAAAUUUUAUAUUUAUUACACCCUGACCUUUUUUGCUCUUCUCUCACCACUUUUAUAUUACGAAUGAGGUGAUUAAAAAGAGACUGCUUCUCUUUUGUUCCAUUAUGGCACAUCUUUUGCCUCUUUAAAUGUCUUUGUAUGUUUGUGAGUGUGUGUGUGUGUGUGUGUGUGUGUGUGUGUGUACUGAUUAUUUUAACCAAUGUUUGAAAAUGAAGUUGGAGUGCUAGAGGUCAAGUGAGUGAGUUAGCCUGAGCUGGUAAUUAAAAGACCAUGUAUGAAGUAUUAACCAGAAGCCACUCUUGGACUUUCCAUUCUCAACUCAAAAUGAAACGGCAAGCAUAAUAAUCCCAUAUCACCUGUGAAAAUGUUGUCAGGGAAUGUUUUCUCAGAGUCAGCUACUGGUCAAGACUUACAAGUUAAACACAAUAAUGUAGGAUCAAGAUUCUGGAAAGGCCAAAAGUUCGAACAGGAGACCUUUAGCCUCUCUGCCUGCAAUGCAUAAUAAUACUUCCUGUUUGUUUGAUAGGUGCGUACCAUUCCCUGAAAACAAAAGCAUUUAUAACUUUUAUGUUAGGAACUAAGUGUGUGCUCUGGUCCCAUUCUUCCUGUUUAGGAUUCCUUUCCACAGAAGUGAAUUAAUAUAAUUUGAACUACUAAAUGAAAAUAACAAACAACAACAAUAUCCCCAUCAACUAAAAGCUGUCUUACUAAGCUUCCAGAAUAUUUGGGAUCAUCCAAACUAUAAGAGAGUUAUAUAUAAUUAUGAAUGAGUUUCAUCAAGGUUGGCUUGCUGUUUAAAUGUCUUCAAUAAAGACUGUUUCCUUACAAGAGUCUAGAUAGACCAUACGGUUCUGUAUUAGCCAAUCAAACCUUAUAGCAAUAACAAUAGUUGGGGAUUUGACCUAAAAAGUGCUUCAAUUUGAGCUAUUUCUGCUCACAAAUAGAGAAGAUUGCAGGUAAGUAAUGUGAAGUAAUGUUCGUUACUAAAAGAGUUUAGAAAUAUAUAAAAUAUAAAGGAGGCUUUUUAAGGAAUUGAAUGAUUUAGUAAGCCCCAAGCUUUAGUGGUUUGUCAUUUUUUUUAGCCAGUUUUUAGGUUUGACUGACCAAUGCCCCAAGAAAGCAGAGCAAAAACUUGAAUGCAAACCUUUCAACCAGGUGACUCUAUAGUUUAUAAGUGGCAGUGAAUGACAUUUCCUCAGGAAAAUCUUGGAAAUUACCAGUGUUGCACAUUUUAUUAAUCCAUGUUUAACCUGAAGCCUAGAAACUAGCACCCCUUUCUUCCUGUCUUCAAAAUUUCUAUUACCAACUGUACUAUGUUGAAGUUUAUAUGACAGGCUGUUUCAACACUUUUGUUUAGUUAAAUGGAAGUGCAUCACUUUUAAAGAAAAGCCCUAUUGCCAAAAAAUAUAAACAGCCCUAACUUUGAUUAAUAUAAAUAUUUAAAAACCAGAACAUUCUGCUACAUCUUGCAAAAACAAUUCUGAUGUUGCUGAUGGGAAAGAAAAAGUGCUUUCAUGCAUUAGACGAAUCCAACAAAAUACAGCUGCAGAACAAAAUUUUAAGUAAAUAUGAAUUGUUUGCCUUUUCACAGGGCUAUGGUAUUUACCUAAAUGGAGUUAUUUUAGAACCUUUUAUGUUUUAUUGGUAAAAAUGAAAGGUUUUGUUUUUGUUUUUACAAUUUUAGUUCUGAAGUAUUUGAUUUAAAUUUGAAAGAGCUCUAAUUAAAAAACACCACUAAAAUUAUUCCUCCCGCCCAGUUCAGGGUUUUGCUAAUAAACCACCGGACAAGAGAUGUGUGAAAUGAAUAGAUGAAGAAAAACGUUGACAGCAAAAGCAGGGUCUGGGGGGUGAAGUUAGUUUAUUAGGCCCCGUUUGUCACGAAUGGGCCUGCUGCACAUAUAAAAGCAAAUCCCUCUACCUUAGAAGAUUAAUUCUGAAGGAGGCACUCUUGGGUCAAAGUAUACAUAAGCGUGUGCCUAAUCUCAGAGAAAUCAGGCUAUUUUCUCACAGCAAUUAAGCAGAGGUCUGGGGUUUCACCCACAGUGUAUUUAAACACAGGAUACAAUUAAACCCCAAAGUAUUAAUAUCUUUGCUCUGCAAAAUUGCCCAGGAAAUAGAUUUUGCUCUCUUUCAAAUGAAAAGCAAGGCAAAUGAAGAGAAUAACUUGAUUCUUAGCUAAGUUGCUGGAAAUAAGAGUGUCGUAUUUUCUUCUAAUUGCCAAUGUCUUAUGUACAUAAAGACAGUUCUUACUCUACAAUAGGGCAAGCGUUAUAAGCUUUCUAGUUUCCUUCAGUCUGAAUAACGAACCUUAGAAGUUUGCAUGAAAAUAUAUUGUUUUAAACUGUAAUUAAAUUUCUUAUUUAGCAUAUGUUAAAAAUCAACUUCUUAUAAAAAUCUAAGAGCUCAUUGUUUACCACCAACAAAAUGUCACAACUAGAGAGCUUUGCAACCUAUGUAAAGAGUAAAAAAAGUAAAUGUAAUUCUAAAGCAAUCAAGUGUUCAAAGGGAUUGCUUUCUGCAGAGAUUUUUCUUGAAGUUUUUUUUAUUCAUAUACUCAUCUCAGGGCAAGAGCUGAUCUUCUAGAGAAAAGUAUUGCCAGUUUAAAACACUGCUUCGAAAAUGCUAACUAUAAAAACAACAAAAUAACUUUUAUUUCUUGUGCAUCAGUUCCCUGAAGGCAAAGAUUUUAAUAGUACAAAAGCUAUAUUAAAUAAACCACUACCUUUGUUCAGCUGUUAAAAAAAAAACUGGUAUUAAACAAAUUUUACCCAUAUUAUAAUUAUUGUUACUUCUCUUUUGUCUGCUUAUGAGAUUAAUAUUCCAUUUCAUUGCCAAACCCCAUUCUCUUUGUCUUUUCAAAGGAAGGGUAGGGGAGGGAGGUUGCUCUUAGAAUAGGAAAGGAUAGAAAUAGUUUUGCAUUCGUGUAAGAGUUUCUAGCAAGACAGUUAUUGGUAUAGGACACAGUGAGAAAUCUUAUAAUCCAUGGCAUAUAGGCAUGUUCUUAGAAAUUAAUAAAACUGAAAGAAUGAAGCAAAAUAGAAUGAGUCAGGUGUGGAAUGGGGUGUGUGUGUGUGUGUGUGUGUACUAACAUAUUUUCCCACUUAAUACUUCUUUGUUACUUUUAAGAGGAGAUGAGUACUUAAGGUAAAGUGCAGAAGGCAAUGUUUCCUUGAAACCACAUGAUAAAUAGCUUAGGCACUUUUUUGAUGUGUGCUGGGCUCUGUGAGAAGGCAUGCAAUCUGAAUUUUACGAAGGAUUGUUUUAAUAGGACCAAUGACUUUAAUAGUACUUCUUGCUGACAUCACUGGCAAAUUGGUCUACUCUGUAACCUUUAAAAGUGCAGCAUAUCCCAAAAUGAGUUACUUAUUAAACAAAUGUUCUCUCUUUUUUUUUUUUUGAGUGCAACUGACCUUUAAAUGAUUAUUUCUCAGCACUUGCAACAAAGAGAAUCUCGCCUAUCACCUUUACACUUUUGAUGCUACGAACCAGCUAUUAUGUCUAGGGGACACUCAAGUAGCUCCCAGGAAAGUCCAUGUGACAAGGAACCGAGCUAUCUGCCAACAGCUGAUGAGGAACGGAGGCAAUCCAUGAACAUCCAGUGAGUGAGCCAUCUUAGAAGCACACCCUCAAGUUGCAGUAAAACCUUUUGAUGAUGGCAGCUCCUGCUGACAUCUCCACCACAACCUCCUAAGAGACCUGGAGCUGGAACCACUCAGGUAAAUAUGAUAGCUGGAGCUGGAGCAGCCAUAUUGGGUCAAGAGACAGAGCCACAGUUGAGGAUGACAGAGCAAUUAGAGACAGCCUGUGUCCCUGAUACUAUACAGCUGCCAUACAUCAACAGUCCUGCCCAUCUAAAUUGUCAGGUGAGAGAGAACAAAGUUUUAUAUUAUUUGAGUCUCUGUGUUUUGGUCUUUUUCUUUUUCUUUUUUCAUUAUAGCAGCCUGAGUAGAUUUUAUCUAAUAUAGAUGUGAAGAACAAAAUAUAAGCAAAAUGGAGCACAAAUCACACAACUUCUUGUUAAAUAACCAAUCCCAGAAAUACUUUCAAUGACAAAUUAAAAAGCCAGCAUAAACAGAAUGCCAACAACUUGAAAAAAAACAUUAAAUUAAUUAAUUUUCUUUUCACUGUAACCAAGAACACAGAACUGGCAUAAAAAAACACUUGAGAAUAGAAAAAAUAACAGGUUUAUUCAAUUCAUAAUUUAAAAGGUAUAGACGUAUGUGUUUUAGGCAUAAGCAUGAUACUUUUGUUCUUUUUAUAUACAUAUAUAAAUAUAUGAAUAGGCAUCAAAAAGUUCCAAAUAUAUACGAUAUCAUGCCAAGCUUCCAAAUGUAUACAGUAGAUAAAUUUCACAAAUUUAAAAAUAAUAAUUUG